AAAUGAAUUGACGGGAGCCCGCACAAGCAGUGGAGUAUGUGGUUUAAUUCGACGCAACGCGAAGAACCUUACCGGAACUUGACAUCCCGCAAAAAGGCCCAUAAAAAGCUAAUGCCCUUCGGGGAAUGCGGUGACAGGUGGUGCAUGGUUGUCGUCAGCUCGUGUCGUGAGAUGUUGGGUUAAGUCCCGCAACGAGCGCAACCCCUAUGUUCAGUUACUACGCAAGAGGACUCUGGACAGACUGCCGUUGACAAAACGGAGGAAGGUGGGGACGACGUCAAAUCAUCAUGCCCCUUACGUUCCGGGCUACACACGUACUACAAUGGCGCAAACAAAGGGAAGCAAUGCCGCGAGGCGGAGCAAACCCCAUAAAAGGCGUCCCAGUUCGGACUGCAGGCUGCAACUCGCCUGCACGAAGUUGGAAUUGCUAGUAAUCGCGAAUCAGCAUGUCGCGGUGAAUACGUUCCCGGGCUUUGUACACACCGCCCGU
rnacentral:rRNA from 1 species